GACGAACGCUGGCGGCGUGCCUAAUACAUGCAAGUCGACCUUAGUGGACGACGGGUGAGUAGUGCCUAGGAAUCUGCCUGGUAGUAGGGGAUAACUUCCGGAAACGGGCGCUAAUACCGCAUACUAUCAGAUGAGACUAGGUCGGAUUAGCUAGUUGGUUGGGUAAAGGCCUACCAAGGCGACGGUCCGUAACUGGUCUGAGAGGAUGAUCAGUUACAAGGGAACUGAGACACGGUCCAGACUCCUACGGGAGGCAGCAGUGGAGAAUAUUGGAAAAUGGGCGAAAGCCUACUCCAGCCAUGCCGCGUGUGUGAAGAAGGUCUUCGGAUUGUAAAGCACUUGAAGUUGGGAGGCGUUACAAACAGAAUAAGUACCGGCUAACUUCGUGCCAGCCGCCGCGGUAAUUC
rnacentral:rRNA from 1 species